AUGAAUCCAUUUAAUUAUCAGCAUCUCUGGUGAGAAUGAUGUAAUUAUGUAUUUUAUUUGAAUGUUCCACGUUUUUGGCACAAUAUUAAAACACAUUCACUGCCAUUGACGGCUUUAGAAGUCAAAUAUCCAUGUUAACUUGGAAGGCUGGCAGUGAAAGAGUUAUAAAUAAAUAUUGAUUGUAAAAGAUGUGGAUUAAGUUGCGCAGUGAAAGAAGUUCGGUUUCCUAAUAUUUAGAUAUAUUUUUUUAAAGGGACCCAAGAGACUGAAGAGGUAAAUAAAACUUAAGAGUAUUUGAGGAACGUCAUGUUGGGGGAGGAGGAGCCAGCGUUGGUUUCCAGCUGAUCGGCGGCGGGCUUGAAGGUGAACAGCAGCGUGAUGGAAGCUCCCAGAAGAGGUUCGACACGUAAACGUCUCAUGAUUGUAAUUGUCAGUGGUGGGAGUUACUAUAACAGCGAGCUGCUCAACGUAAGGACGUGAAGAAAAUAAGUUGUCAGCAGUGGAAGUAAACGGCAAAUGGGAGGGUUCCUCCACCGUGCCGUUGUCCCCGGGGAUUUGGGACUCUCCCUCAGCUUCCAUCUUCUCGUCCAGCUCGCUCACAUGAGGCUGUGCAGACAUUGCUGGCCGCAGACAGCAAAUGCGUCGUGAUUACGUUUCCAUUUUUGGAAGUACACUUCUUCUCCGGCAUCAGUUUGACCGACACUUUGCCGGUUUCUGAAGUCCGCACGCUUUGCCAAUCAGCUCCGAGGCCUUCAAUGUUAUUAACCAAUAGAAAAUAAGAGUUUUUUUUUCGCGUCAUAGCCAAUAGGAUUCCUCAAAGCGUUUUGCCGACCAAUCUCAUGCCUCGUUUUAGUUGUACCAGGAAGUAUCAACUUUAGCCACUUUCAAAACAUUUCAAUGUGUCACCUUUUUUGUUUUUUUAAACCUUUAUAAACUUUCUUGGCGUGUAAAUGACAAGCUACCCUUAUCAUCUUUGUACCGACUGUGACCGCAAGAGGGAGACAUCCUUCCACGAGUGGCGAGGAUGGAGCAACAAAGGAGCGUUUUCAGGAGCUCUACAAAGAAAGCCACCAAGUGUGCUUGCUUAAAAACAACAACAACAACUUGAAAGUGAUUGGAGAGCCCGAGUGAAAUCCGGGAGCCCGACGGGGAGAAAGGUAGGAGGGAGCGCGUCUUUGGAAAAGUCCGGAAGACAGGCUAUGGUGGGGAGACACAAAGAAAGAGGAUCCACAAGGGAGGAUUCCCAAAACAACAAAACAAUCCCGCGGACUGACUUUGAGUCUGCUUUCCGCGGGCACCCUUUGUGCUGCCUCGCACAAAAUACCGCCUCAAAGAUUGCUGCCAGAUAUUUGCACACUUCAGCGGAUUUUUUUCUUCUUCUCCCAAACAAAGCCGUACCUUUUGGUUCCGAAGUGUAAAGACGACGAACAUCGAGCUAAGUCUUGGUUUAAAAAGAUAUGAUAUUCUUACAAGCAAUCCGCUGGCGUUGUGUUUUGGUGUCAUUCAGGAAUGCACGAGGUCCAAAAAGGCAAAAAAAAAAAAAAUAGAAAAUAGCAAAGCCGUGAUGGAGAUUAGCUUAAUAAUAUCCUGUUUGGCAGCUUUGUCAAGACCCAAACAGGUCUGACUGACAGUUUAGUGAAAAAUAAGACUUCUUAUUUAAUGAUGAACUGGCAGGUAUUAAAGAGAAUAUUUGCAUGGAGCAAUUUUCAGUAAUUUAUUCGUGUUUUUAUUUCACGCGCAUCUUGGUAUGUUCGCCACACUACAACAAUUUCACCUCGUACGUGUGCCUAUUGUGCGACGUGGACUCCCUCUAGUGGUACACAAAAGAAUCACCCAAUUAAAUAUUCAAACUGGGAAUAAUGUUACAGUGGCUACAAAUUGUUUUAAUCCAGUGCAGUACAUUUGUUAA